GAGUGGACAGCGGCACAGCGGCUGCAUAUGGCGGUGUGCGGAGGUGGUAUACCUGUAGCUUGGGAUUUCACUCUGACAACAGGAAGGAAUCGACGUUGGAUUGCUACGCCUCUAUUGCACCAGUGAAGGAUGUCUGUGUGCCGGUUUGCGCUAAGUUUCUCAGCCUGCUGUGGCCUGCUUGCAAUACCAAUGUGACACAGCCGUCUGUGGAGUGGUGCUCUUUGUUCUGGAUUCUCCCAGGAAAUACGCAAGCAUUGCAGUGGAGCCAGUUACACUGCCCCCACACUAAUAUUGUAUUUGGCAAAGCCGAAGGCAUGUGCAAGGAGCCAGUCAUUCUAAUUCUCAAACAAUCCUUCCUCUAGUCAGUCCAUUUCUAGUGUCUAGUCAUCCAUGUUAUUUUUUUUAGUAAAGUACAACAAACACAGGUUUGUUCAGAU